rnacentral:rRNA from 1 species
GACGAACGCUGGCGGCGUGCUUAACACAUGCAAGUCGAGCGGUAAGGCCCUUCGGGGUACACGAGCGGCGAACGGGUGAGUAACACGUGGGUGACCUGCCCUCAGCUCUGGGAUAAGCCUGGGAAACCGGGUCUAAUACCGGAUAUGACUCCAUGACGCAUGUUGUGGGGUGGAAAGCCUUGUGCGGCUGAGGAUGGGCCCGCGGCCUAUCAGCUUGUUGGUGGGGUGAUGGCCUACCAAGGCGACGACGGGUAGCCGGCCUGAGAGGGCGACCGGCCACACUGGGACUGAGACACGGCCCAGACUCCUACGGGAGGCAGCAGUGGGGAAUCUUGCGCAAUGGGCGAAAGCCUGACGCAGCGACGCCGCGUGAGGGAUGACGGCCUGGUGUAAC